rnacentral:rRNA from 1 species
ACUCAAAUGAAUUGACGGGGGCCCGCACAAGCAGCGGAGCGUGUGGUUUAAUUCGACGCAACGCGAAGAACCUUACCAAGGCUUGACAUCCCUCGCCAUCUGCGGAAACGUAGAGUUCCCUUCGGGGACGAGGAGACAGGUGGUGCACGGUUGUCGUCAGCUCGUGUCGUGAGAUGUUGGGUUAAGUCCCGCAACGAGCGCAACCCCUGUGCUUAGUUGCCAUCAUUAAGUUGGGCACUCUAAGCAGACUGCCGGUGACAAACCGGAGGAAGGUGGGGAUGACGUCAAAUCAUCAUGCCCCUUAUGUCUUGGGCUACACACGCGCUACAAUGGUCUGUACAGAGGGCAGCGACACCGCGAGGUGAAGCGAAUCCCAUAAAACAGAUCCCAGUUCGGAUUGCAGGCUGCAACUCGCCUGCAUGAAGUCGGAGUUGCUAGUAAUCGCGGAUCAGCACGCCGCGGUGAAUGCGUUCCCGGGCCUUGUACACACCGCCCGU